UAUUAUAUGCUUAUCUCAAAGACUAAGCCAUGCAUGCCUAAGUACUCGGUCCAGCAAACCGAAACCGCGGAUGGCUCAUUAUAACAGCUAUGAUUUAAGAGACAUAUUUGGCAUUCUUGCCACAGGAUAACUGUGGUAAUUCUAGAGCUAAUACUUUUCAAAAUGCCGUGACGAAAGGAGCGGUGUAUUUAUUAGAAUCAAGACCAAUCUGUCGCAAGACAGUGUUUUGAUGACUCUGGAUAAACCAACUGAUCGUACGGCCUUUGUGUCGACGACCGAUCUCUUAAAGUGGCUGACCUAUCAACUUUAGAUGGUAAGGUAACUGCUUACCAUGGUUGUAACGGGUAACGGGGAAUCAGGGUUCGAUUCCGGAGAGGGAGCCUGAGAAACGGCUACCACAUCCACGGAUGGCAGCAGGCGCGUAACAUGCCCAAUGCGAGUGCAAGCUCGUGAGGCUGUAAAGAAUCAUAACAAUAUGGGCCUUUCUAAGGACUCAUAAUUGCAAUGAGAUGAUUUUAAAUACUUUUACGAGUAUCAAUUGGAGGGCAAGUCUGGUGCCAGCAGCCGCGGUAAUUCCAGCUCCAAUAGCGUAUAUUAAAGUUGCUGCAGUUAAAAAGCUCGUAGUCGAAAUUGAGGAAUUAUGAUGGGUGGAUGGUCUGUUGAUCGUUGCCUAUCUGAUCCUUCUGAGCUGUGUCUAUGUCCGAUGCUCUUCAUUUGGGUGUUGGAUGUAACCGGCAAGUUUACUUUGAAAAAAUUAGAGUGCUUAAAGCAGGCUUUACGCUUGUAUAUUUGUGCAUGGAAUAAUGAAAUAAGACUUCGGUUUUAUUUUGUUGGUUUUACGAAUCGAGGUAAUGAUUAAAAGAGACUGCCGGGGGCAUGCGUAUGCUGAUGGGAGAGGUGAAAUUCAUAGAUCAUCAGCAGACGAUCUAAUGCGAAAGCAUUUGCCAAGAAUGUUUUCAUUGAUCAAGAACGAAAGUCAGAGGAUCGAAGACGAUCAGAUACCGUCCUAGUUCUGACCAUAAACUAUGCCAACUGACGGUCCGCGGAGGUACCAAUUAAUGUCCUUGCGAGAAGUCAUCCGGGAAACCAUAAGUCUAUGGGUUCCGGGGGAAGUAUGGUUGCAAAGCUGAAACUUAAAGGAAUUGACGGAAGGGCACCACCAGGAGUGGAGCCUGCGGCUUAAUUUGACUCAACACGGGGAAUCUCACCCGGUCCGGACACUGUGAGGAUUGACAGAUUGAUAGCUCUUUCUUGAUUCGGUGGGUGGUGGUGCAUGGCCGUUCUUAGUUGGUGGAGCGAUUUGUCUGGUUAAUUCCGAUAACGAACGAGACUCUAACCUGCUAAACAGUACAACAGUGUUUUCCUGCUGUUGCCGACUUCUUAGAGGAAUAAAUAGCUUAUAGCUAAGUGAGAUUGAGCAAUAACAGGUCUGUGAUGCCCUUAGAUGUCCGGGGCCGCACGCGCGCUACAAUGGCUGUAUCAACGAGUUUGUUUCCUUGCUUGAAAAGGCUGGGUAAACUGUUGAAACACAGCCAUAUCUGGGAUAGUGGUUUGAAAUUGUUCCACUUGAACGAGGAAUUCCUAGUAAGUGCAAGUCAUCAACUUGCGCUGAUUACGUCCCUGCCCUUUGUACACACCGCCCGUCGCUACUACCGAUUGAAUGGUUUAGUGAGACUGUUGGAUUCUGAUCUAAGGGGUGGCAACAUCUCUAUGAUUGGGAGAAGAC
rnacentral:rRNA from 1 species